AGUGUGCCCUGAAAUUGGUCAGGGAAAAGUCUGUGGAGCAAAACUUUGGAGGGAGAAAUUGAAGAGGGUAAAGAGAUUUUGUGGCAAGGCUACAGAGAAUGUUUACAGUUAGGGGAACAGCUGCUGGAAACUCUGUAGGCAAGAAGCGUGAGGAUAGGAGCAUGAUGUUUGGGAAAUGUUUAGGAGACUGCUCUGCUUUUCUUUCUCCAACUGCAUGAACUCCAGGCGAGUAGAAGAGGAGGCUUUCUCUGUGUGAGGAACCACCUCCUCCCACCCAAGCUGGAGAAUUAACCCAUAUGCAAGAAUAACAGUUGUAAUUACCACAGAAUUUACAAGUCUAUACAAUACGAGUGCUCUGAGAACUGCUUUCAAAGGCCUUCACCUUCGACCUGUGAUGCCUUCUCAAAUAGGAGACAGGAAGUGGCUUCAUGGAUUACAGGCAGCCCUCCAGAACUUUCUCAAGGGAUAUCCUGCAAUUGUUCGGCAACUGCACUCAGCAGGCAGAGGCAAAAGUGACACCAGUCAAAAGAAACCCAAAGAACUUCUGGAGUCCCUUCUCCAAGAUGACAUUGUUAAAUUUGCCCACUUCUUGUUGGAUGUCAUGAAUGUCCUUAGCAUUCUGUCCUGUGUCAAUAAGAAUAGAAAUUCCUCAAUUGCUGACAUAUUUGCCACUUUAGAGUCAACGCUGGAAAUGCUCCAAAUGUAUCAAACAAGACUAGGGCCAAAAGAACGCAUGGUGGAUUCAGCCACACACUUUCAUGGUAACUGCCUCAGAGGGAAAGAAAACAUUUCUGCUGUGAGAAACAUUGUUUUAACACAUCUUAUCAAGAGACUUCAAGGCUGUUUCAGAGAUGCCAGCCAAAAUGUGGCGAGGGCUACCGUGAUUGGAAGUUUUAAAUUGUGGCCCACAAAGAUAAAUCAAGAAUUUGGAGAAAAAGAGGUAUCCAUCCUGACUGCACAUUAUGAACCAGUAUUAGAAGCUGCCAAUGUGAAACUUAGUGAAGUGUAUACUGAAUGGAGCAUGUUGAAAUUAGAGAUUUAUGCCAGAUUUCAGAACAUUCGAAAAUUGACCUGGGAUUUUGUGAAUUCCAUUUACUUACACAAGUAUCCAAAUAUCCUGACACUAGUCGACCUAGUGUUGACCCUUCCUGCAAGUUCAGCUGAAGCAGAACGUGGCUUUAGUCAGAUGAAAUGGACCAAGUCACAUAUACAUGCAAAAAUCAAGGCUGAAAUUAUGACGGAUGUCCUAAUUAUUCAGUUGAAUUCUCCAGACAUUAAUAAUUUUGACCCUAGGAAAGCUAUCCAUUUAUGGAAUGCAAGAACACCAUCUUCAACUGGUGACACAAGAUCUAAUUCAGAUUGCUCAUCAAACUCAGAAAAUGAAAGUGAUUAGCAAUAUGCAAAUGUUGACAUUUUUGUUGCUUAGCAAUGUAGAUCUUUUGCAUAGUAAAAAAUAAAAUAAAAUAAAUGGUU
rnacentral:sRNA from 1 species